GGUCGAGUACCCAAAUGGUUACGGGGGGAGUCUGCAAAACUCCUUUGCGUGGGUUCGAUUCCCACCUCGACCU
rnacentral:tRNA from 1 species